UACAGAGGUGGCAAGCGUUGUUCGGAAUUACUGGGCGGAAAGGGCGAGUAGGUGGCCAUCUAAGUCAGACGUGAAAUCCCCCGGCUUAACCUGGGAACUGCGUCUGAUACUGGACGGCUUGAGUAUGGGAGAGGAACGUAGAAUUCCAGGUGUAGCGGUGAAAUGCGUAGAUAUCUGGAGGAAUACCGGUGGCGAAGGCGGCGUUCUGGACCAUUACUGACACUGAAUCGCGAAAGCUAGGGGAGCAAACGGG
rnacentral:rRNA from 1 species